rnacentral:lncRNA from 1 species
CAGAUUCGGAAAGAUCCGAACUUAGAAACUCGUUCGUAAAAGCGCAGAAGGCAGUAGCUAUUUAGGAGGUUUGCAGUAAUGAUAAAAUGCUCAAAGUAAAUGCAAACCGAGAUUUAGAGUGGUUCGGUCAGUCUUGACCUACUCCACUUUUGGCUUCCUCCUCCGACGAGGUCACCGACGUCAACUAGAGGGCUUCCUUCAAUAGGCGAAGGCCAACUGCCCUUUUACAGUUUCACUCCUUUUGAUGGGCUCAGGAGACAACCCUUACAGAACCUUUC